GACGAACUGUGCAAACGUUAUUCGGAAUUACUGGGCGUAAAGGGUUCGUAGGUGGCCUGCUAAGUCAGACGUGAAAUCCCUCAGCUUAACUGGGGAACUGCGUCUGAGACUGGCGGGCUUGAGUGCAGGAGAGGAACGCGGAAUUCCAGGUGUAGCGGUGAAAUGCGUAGAUAUCUGGAGGAACACCGGUGGCGAAGGCGGCGUUCUGGACUGUUACUGACACUGAGGAACGAAAGCCAGGGGAGCAAACGGG
rnacentral:rRNA from 1 species